GGGCGAGUGGUGGAAUGGUAGACACGCCAGACUUAGGAUCUGGUGGGCAUUUGCCCGUGGGAGUUCGAGUCUCCCCUCGCCCACCA
rnacentral:tRNA from 6 species